GGAGCCGGUAAUACCCGAAGUCAGUAGCCUAACCGCAAGGGGGCGCUGCCGAAGGUAGGAUUGGCGACGUGGGGUGAAGUCGUAACAAGGUACC
rnacentral:rRNA from 1 species